AUACAGCUGACGAGUCCCAAAUAGGACGAAAUGCGCAUCCUGGAU
rnacentral:hammerhead_ribozyme from 1 species